rnacentral:tRNA from 1 species
UUUCUGAUAGCUCAGUUGGUAAAGAAUCUGUCUGCAAUGCAGGAGACCCUGGUUUGAUUCCUAAGUCAGAAGA